AAGAUAAAGAAAGAAAAAUAAUGGGUUAAUCACAUGAAAGUACAAUCACAGCUUCUUCACCACCCUAAUGACUGUGUCUAGAAACUUCUAUAACCAGCUCUGGAGAGCCAAGGCAACAGUUGUGGAGCUAUUUAUUCAUUUUAACUGAUUCAUUUUGCGUUUUUAUACUCGAGUAUAAAUGUUUGCCAAUUGUACUUUUUAUUUAAUACACUUUCAAAAGGAAUUUUAAAGAUAAAUUACGAUGUAUAUUAAAAUGACUCUUCAGCUCUACGAGUCGACUCCCAGCGUUCCCAUUAAAGAACCGACUUAAAGAUCCGAUUCAAAGAGUUGAUUUAAGGAACCGAUUCAUUUGGAAACGACACAGACAGGUUUCCUUGUUGGGGAAACAUUAAUGAAGAUGGCUGUGGUUAAAAAAAAGAAGCCUCCAUUUUCUCUUGUUCUCUAGGAUCUCGUAGAUGAAGGGCUUGGUGAAAGGUGGAAGGUCCGGAUCUACGGCGGUGAUGUUGGUCAUAGAUUGCGGUAAACAAAUAGUCACCUCGUUGUCCUUCAAGACUGGAGCGUUAUCAUUCUCAUCUAACAGCUGGAUGAUCAGCGUUCCUGUACCUGUCUGCGGAGGUGUACCUGUAGGUCAGCGCCUUGUCUUGUUUUCCCUUAAACCUGUUCUUGACAAGUCAAUGGUGUCAGGAGGCUGGAUUUGACACAAUGACCAAAUUAACUUCAGUGACUUCUUAAUGAAUUUAUUCAGCCUGUUUUUUUCCUACCACAGUAUAGAACAGAACAUAUAUAUAAAAACCUCCAACCCACAAACU